rnacentral:rRNA from 1 species
AGAGAUGUGUGAUGACGCAUAUCAAUAAGCGGAGGAAAAGAAACUAACAAGGAUUCCCCUAGUAACGGCGAGUGAAGCGGGAAGAGCUCAAAUUUGAAAUCUUAAAGGGUUUCCCUUUACGAAUUGUAGUUUAAAGAAGUGUUUUCUGUUGGAGUUUCGGUAAAAGUUCUUUGGAAUAGGACAUCAUAGAGGGUGAGAAUCCCGUAUUUGACCGUUACUUUCCAGCUGUGUGAUACACUUUCAAAGAGUCGGAUUGUUUGGGAAUGCAGUCCAAAAUGGGUGGUAAAUUUCAUCUAAAGCUAAAUAUUGGCGAGAGACCGAUAGCGAACAAGUACCGUGAGGGAAAGAUGAAAAGAACUUUGAAAAGAGAGUUAAACAGUACGUGAAAUUGUCAAAAGGGAAGCGUUUGACACCAGUGUUGUUUUUCCGAAAAUCAAUUACGAAUGUUUUGUUUUUAAGAAGUUAUGACUUCAUCGGCUUGCUUCUUUCUUUACGAAACUCUCUUAAUGCACUUUUCGGUUAACAAGUCAACAUCAAUUUCUUUUGUUGUAAAAGGGUACGAGGAAGGUGGCUUUCUUUUCGGAGAAAGUGUUUAUAGCCUUGUACCUCUGCAAUCGGAGAGAUUGAGGUCUGCAGCGUAGAUCCUUCGGGGUUAGAUACAUUUGUGCUAAGUUAUAGCUUUUCAUAGACAACUUGUUGACUAUGUUAAGUCUUGUAGCUUACUCGCUUAUGCUAUUUUACCUACGCUUAGGAUGUUGACAGCAGUAUAGACUGU